rnacentral:rRNA from 1 species
UACGGAGGGUGCAAGCGUUAUCCGGAUUCACUGGGUUUAAAGGGUGCGUAGGUGGCUUGGUAAGUCAGUGGUGAAAGCCCGGAGCUCAACUCCGGAACUGCCAUUGAUACUGCUUAGCUUGAAUCAGGUCGAGGUGGAUGGAAUAAUACAUGUAGCGGUGAAAUGCUUAGAUAUGUAUUAGAACACCGAUUGCGAAGGCAGUUCACUAGGCCUGUAUUGACACUGAGGCACGAAAGCGUGGGGAUCAAACGGG